rnacentral:lncRNA from 1 species
AAAAUGAAGAACUAGAGGCAAUGAAAGGCCAAUGCAGCUCAACAAAGUGAAGAGUUGGAGGCAGUUAAAGCAAAACAAACCAAGACGGAUACAUUUAUAAGAAGACUACUGGAACAGCUAUCCUCUAGGAAAUAAAGGUACGUAGUGUCAUAUUUAUUUAUGUAAGGUUGGUUAAACAAAAAAGAACAACAGAAGGGUGAUAAGACGUUAAUAUGUAUCCUAUAGUAUUGUAUGUACUUUUUUUCUUUUACUAUAGCAUGCAUGUAAGUUUUCUAACUUCUUGUAUAUUUCUUUAUGCUAUUGCAGGUUUGUGAAGUGUGGUCCAAGGUCAACGUUUUAGCUUUGUAUAUAAAUUUCUCACUUUGUGUUAGCUUUUGGAAAGACUUGAGAAACACUUCUUCUACCUGCUUAGCUUUUGGAAAUACAUCUUUAUCCAAGUUUAUUUUAAUAGUUGGUAUGAAUUGGUGCAGAUCCUUGUAUACUGACUUUGCUACAAUUUAAGUUUAAUUAUGACGGAGAUGAGAUACAUAUUUUAUUGGAGAUUAUUGCUAAUAUCAGUAUAUAUUACUGUACAAAUUUUGUUGAUCAUUAUUGGAAAAGAAAAUCUAAACUAAAAACUAUUGCCAUUUAGUGACCAUAUCAUAAUUUCCAGUGACCAAAUAUUUUUGUCAAACAAUGCUACUGAAACAAUUUUUAAGUUUAGUGAGCAGCGCUUUAAUGACUAUCUGUUGGUCACAAAAUGUGGCAUACGAGUUCUUGUCAGUGACCAAAAUUAGGGGUUCAAUGAUGAACUUCUUGGUCACUAAAACAUGUCUUAUUAGUGGUCACAAUAAUUUGGUCACUAAGCGUAGCGCUUGAAAAUUUUUCAAUGACCAAGUAAGGGUUUUAGUUACCAAAAAUAUGGGUUUUAGU